rnacentral:lncRNA from 1 species
AUUAAGAAAUUUUAUAUCUUUAUUUUCCAUGUGUUUAUUUUUAUUUUUUCUAGUAACUGCAAAAGUUUUUUUUUUUUAUCUUUUUUUUUUUAUGUAACUUAUCACCUUAAGUAUUUAUAAGAGUAGUUAGGUAUUUGUGGUAUAUAGCUUAUUCUAGACAUAUAAUUUUUACCAAAAGCUUUUUCUAAUAUUAUUUUUCUUAUAUCUGCUACUUUUAUAUUUCUAAGUGCAUACAAAAUAAGUAUCUUGAAUUUAUCUACCAUCACAUCAGAUAUAUUAUCAUUCAUUUUUCAUAAAUUUGCUUUUUUCAAAAUAUUCCCUUCAAUCACGUACACAACAAAAUAUGGUCAUAUUGGCUUACUAUAUACUAGAGUAUUCUUAAAUAAUAUGUUCUUCCGUCACUAUUAACAUGGUAAUCCGGAUACUUUUUCCCUUAAACAGCGCCUCUACUCUGGUUACUCCCCGCCACGGCUUCUUGCCUCAAUGGUUUCACCUUUAGGAUGGC